rnacentral:tRNA from 1 species
GGACGGGUGGCCGAGUGGCUUAAGGCGCACGAUUGGAAAUCGUGUGGGUGUAAGCCCGCGUGGGUUCGAAUCCCACCCCGUCCG